GCUCAUUGGCUAUCAAAAUAGAAGAGGCAUAUAUAAGACUUGAGAGUGGUUGUGGGGCAUAAAAAUCAAACCUCUGAACUUUCUGAUACAUGAAACUCUCUGAUUCUCUUUUGCUCAUACCUUUUACAUUCUUCUUUCUUUAAUUUGCUUCACUCAGAUUUCAUCUGACCUCAUCCAUCAUUUUAUUAAUAUCACACAACAAUGCAGAAAGCAAAAGGCUCGGGAAAAAAAAAAAAAAAAAAAAAAUUUCGUGUUCAGUUUUUUUUUUCAUCUUACAAUUCUUUCAGACUCGCGGUUUAGAGGGUCAUUUUUGGGUGCCACUAGUAAGAUGGAGUUUUCAAACGGCUAGUUAGAAUUUUCAGAAUGACGUUAAGAAUAACUCAUCGAAGACCACGCUAGGUAGGAUAUAUGCUAUUGCAGAUUUUUGGGUCGCACAGAAGCUCAUCUGGAAGGGAUAGGGAUGCCACAUUGAUUUAAUGAUCUCUUGGUCUUUUCAUUGACACAUGCAGGCGAUGGAUUUGAUCAGAAAUGCUUCUCAACAUGAUCUUCAAACCUCUUGGGAUCAUUUUGGUUAAAAGCAGACACCGAAUUCAUGAUCGGAGCAUCCCAUCCCACACCACCAAAGGCAAAAGACUUGAUCAGA